UACGUAGGGGGCAAGCGUUGUCCGGAUUUAUUGGGCGUAAAGAGCGUGUAGGCGGUUCGGUAGGUCCGUUGUGAAAACUCGAGCUCAACCUCGAGACGCCGAUGGAAACCCUCGAACUAGAGUCCGGAAGAGGAGAGUGGAAUUCCCGGUGUGAGCGGUGAAAUGACGCAGAUAUCGGGAAGAACACCCGUGGCUAAGGCGGCUCUCUAGUACGGUACUGACGCUGAGACGCGAAAAGCGUGGGGAGCGAACAGG
rnacentral:rRNA from 1 species